rnacentral:lncRNA from 1 species
CCCAUGAGGGCUGCAUCCAUGGCUGGACACAAGUGGCUGCAUCUUGUUCUAUGAUCAAUCACUUAGAGCCCAACCAUGACUUUGUAAGCGUAGGCACAGAAUUGUUCUUAACCUUCUGAACUGGAAAAUACAUUUCAGAAGAAUCCACUGCUCUUCUGUCAAAGCAAAACCAACAAGAAUAAUCUCUUUUAAAUUACAAGCAUUAAAUGACAGUGGGGAACAGUUAUCAUUUUGUUGCUCUCUAUGCAUAUGUGCUUGCGUAUAUGCUUUUGCGGUCGUGUGAAGCCCGUGGGUCUCCAGCAGCCUGGAGUUUAAAAACGCUUUUGAAGGAGUGGUUAGGGCAAGCAGAAGAGCGGGGAUUUGAUCUGGCAAGCUGAAGUAAUGGAUGUUGAUUUCUGCUCAUUAAGAACCAUGUCACAGAACUGCAGCCUAAACAACAUGCAUCCCUCCGACCGCCUGGCAUUUCCUCAUGCUUCAAAACUGUAUUCCUCUUCUUCCUGGGAACACUAAUGAAGAAGGAAGUCAUUUGGAAAAAGCCACACUAACUCUGCAUAUAUUAUUUUUUCUGUGAUUGUGCCCAUCAAAUUGGAUUUUAUUAGGAUUUCAACACUCUUAAAUUCACAGCUGCACAUGCGUGGCUUUCCAUAACAGAAAUCAAUUAGAUAUUGAUGAAAGCUAAAGAAUCUUAGCAGAAUAAUAACAAACAGCAAAUACAAAGCAUGUCAAUUAAUCCCAGAGGUGAUCUGGUUUCUCCCCUACUGCCUGUGGGAAAUGAGAAAAUUUCAUGGCACCGACAAAAUGACAUCCAUGGCUCUUUCUUUGGAAGGCUGCCGAAGCAUCCUUUCCACCCCUGGAGGGUUUGAGGCAUGCUGAUGCGUUCAGCUGGCCAGACAGAGAGCAUGAACCUCUAACCCCACACACAUACCUCCUUGCUUGCUGAGCUACCUCCCCAGGUGGUCUGAAUUUCCCAGUAGAUGUUCUCCAGCACUCUGGCAGAACUGGGCUCUCCACUGUCAGCCACAGGGCUCACUGUUGACUGUGAAAAGAUGUUGUGAAAUGUCAGAAUGUACCAACAAGGUUAGACAAGUGAAUAUUACAGGCUAUUUCAUGCUAACAAUAUAUCAAUGCAGAAAAAAAAUACUUCAGUAGCUUUUGUUAAGAGAAAGAUCUCACAGGCUGAAUGUUGAGAUGUGGGAGUCACUUCCCUCGGUUCCUACUUUCUGUACGCGGUCAUAAAUUGCAGUUAAAUGUUAUUCUCCUUUUGACCCAUAAACUGUUAUCCAUCAGAUGGAAAUACUGAAAACUCCCUAACUUUCAGGUGGGCAGAUAACCUGUUACAAAAAACUGCACAAAAGAACGGCUCUGGAGUUUUGAAUCAUGAUUAUGACUAACAACAUAUUUUAGGAACUCAGUGCACAAACAGCCUCACUCUAAUCUCUCAGCAGGUUCACAGCCAGGCAGCUCUCUCAUUUGAUAACCAGAGAGACCGGAAUCAGGCCCAAGACAGUCAUUUUUAUACCACUUGGUAUCCUAGUAAUGGCCACAACAAGGGAAUAUGAACCUUUUGUCUUCAUACUUCUACAGACACAUUUCUUGUUUAUUUAUUGCACUCCAUUCACAGGUAUUUCCAAAAGCCUGGUAUCACUCCUGCUUCUGUAGCUCUUUAAAUACUCAUUCAUGGCAGAAAAACG